GGCUUUUUGGCUGCUAGUGUGCAACGGCUCCAAGUGAGGGGGCCCAUGCUCCGCGAAAAUAAUGGAUUGGAGGCAAGUGGACUCUUUCAUUGCUUGGGCCGGGCUCUGCUAAGUAUCGAUAAUCGCUGCAAUCUUAUGGGAAGGAAUUCAAGGCUCCCAACAAGUCGCUUCUGAUUGUUUUCAUGGGGACUGACUAGGUCACUUGAAAUAGAUCUUAAACCCUUGGUCAGUCAGAACAACCUCCGCGCUGCAAAAUUGAUACAGGGAGUCAGUUAAGCUUCU
rnacentral:misc_RNA from 1 species